GACCUCGGAUCAGGUAGGGAUACCCGCUGAACUUAAGCAUAUCAAUAAGCGGAGGAAAAGAAACCAACAGGGAUUGCCUCAGUAACGGCGAGUGAAGCGGCAACAGCUCAAAUUUGAAAUCUGGCUUCUUCGGAGCCCGAGUUGUAAUUUGUAGAGGAUGCUUCGGGUUUGGCCCCGGCCUAAGUUCCUUGGAACAGGACGUCACAGAGGGUGAGAAUCCCGUAUGUGGCUGGAGGUCUAUGCCCAUGUGAAGCUCCUUCGACGAGUCGAGUUGUUUGGGAAUGCAGCUCAAAAUGGGUGGUAAAUUUCAUCUAAAGCUAAAUACUGGCGGGAGACCGAUAGCGCACAAGUAGAGUGAUCGAAAGAUGAAAAGCACUUUGGAAAGAGAGUUAAAAAGUACGUGAAAUUGUUGAAAGGGAAGCGCUUGCAACCAG
rnacentral:rRNA from 1 species